AGAGUUUGAUCCUGGCUCAGGAUGAACGCUAGCGGCAGGCUUAACACAUGCAAGUCGAGGGGCAGCAUAAUGGAUAGCAAUAUCUAUGGUGGCGACCGGCGCACGGGUGCGUAACGCGUAUGCAACCUACCUUUAACAGGGGGAUAACACUGAGAAAUUGGUACUAAUACCCCAUAACAUCAUGAAAGGCAUCUUUUAUGGUUGAAAAUUCCGAUGGUUAGAGAUGGGCAUGCGUUGUAUUAGCUAGUUGGUGAGGUAACGGCUCACCAAGGCGACGAUACAUAGGGGGACUGAGAGGUUAACCCCCCACACUGGUACUGAGACACGGACCAGACUCCUACGGGAGGCAGCAGUGAGGAAUAUUGGUCAAUGGACGCAAGUCUGAACCAGCCAUGCCGCGUGCAGGAUGACGGCUCUAUGAGUUGUAAACUGCUUUUGUACGAGGGUAAACGCAGAUACGUGUAUCUGUCUGAAAGUAUCGUACGAAUAAGGAUCGGCUAACUCCGUGCCAGCAGCCGCGGUAAUACGGAGGAUUCAAGCGUUAUCCGGAUUUAUUGGGUUUAAAGGGUGCGUAGGCGGUUUGAUAAGUUAGAGGUGAAAUGUUAGGGCUCAACCCUGAAACUGCCUCUAAUACUGUUGGACUAGAGAGUAGUUGCGGUAGGCGGAAUGUAUGGUGUAGCGGUGAAAUGCUUAGAGAUCAUACAGAACACCGAUUGCGAAGGCAGCUUACCAAACUAUAUCUGACGUUGAGGCACGAAAGCGUGGGGAGCAAACAGGAUUAGAUACCCUGGUAGUCCACGCAGUAAACGAUGAUAACUCGUUGUCGGCGAUACACAGUCGGUGACUAAGCGAAAGCGAUAAGUUAUCCACCUGGGGAGUACGUUCGCAAGAAUGAAACUCAAAGGAAUUGACGGGGGCCCGCACAAGCGGAGGAACAUGUGGUUUAAUUCGAUGAUACGCGAGGA
rnacentral:rRNA from 1 species